ACCCUCUGGCAAUAAGCAAAGAGACAUCUUGUUGGUGUCGUUGUUCUUAUAUCAAUCAGGGGGAGAGCAGGUGGCAGGGCUUUGUUCAUCAGAGCAUGAUGUCUGGCUUGGUGGCCAAAGCCAUUUUAUGCUAGGUCACCUAA